UCCAGACUCCUACGGGAGGCAGCAGUGGGGGAUAUUGCACAAUGGGGGAAACCCUGAUGCAGCGACGCCGCGUGUGGGAAGACGGUCUUCUGGAUUGUAAACCACUGUCCCCAGGGACGAAAAUGACGGUACCUGAAGAAGAAGCCCCGGCUAACUACGUGCCAGCAGCCGCGGUAAUACGUAGGGGGCAAGCGUUAUCCGGAUUUACUGGGUGUAAAGGGAGCGUAGACGGCCAGACAAGUCUGAAGUGAAAAUCCAGCGCUUAACGUUGGAAGUGCUUUGGAAACUGCCGGGCUAGAGUGCAGGAGGGGCAGGCGGAAUUCCUAGUGUAGCGGUGAAAUGCGUAGAUAUCAGGAGGAACACCGGCGGCGAAGGCGGCCUGCUGGACCGUGACUGACGUUGAGGCUCGAGAACGUGGGGAGCAAACAGGAUUAGAUACCCUUGUA
rnacentral:rRNA from 1 species